rnacentral:rRNA from 1 species
CAUAUCAAUAAGCGGAGGAAAAGAAACCAACAGGGAUUGCCUCAGUAGCGGCGAGUGAAGCGGCAAAAGCUCAGAUUUGAAAUCGUGUUUCGGCACGAGUUGUAGAUUGCAGGUUGGAGUCUUUGUGGAAGCGUGUGUCUAAGUCCCUUGGAACAGGGUGCCAUUGAGGGUGAGAGCCCCGUGAGACGCGUGCGGAAGCUGUAAGGCCCUUCUGACGAGUCGAGUUGUUUGGGAAUGCAGCUCUAAGUGGGUGGUAAAUUCCAUCUAAGGCUAAAUAUUGGCGAGAGACCGAUAGCGAACAAGUACUGUGAAGGAAAGAUGAAAAGCACUUUGAAAAGAGAGUGAAACAGCACGUGAAAUUGUUGAAAGGGAAGGGUAUUGGGCUCGACAUGGGAUUUGCGCACCGCUGCUCCUUGUGGGCGGCGCUCUGUGCUUUUCCUGGGCCAGCAUCGGUUUUUGCCGCAGGAGAAGGCGUGCUGGAAUGUGGCUCUUCGGUGUGUUAUAGCCAGUGCGAGAUGCUGCGUGCGGGGACCUGAGGA